CUGGCGGCGUGCCUAAUACAUGCAAGUCGAACGGUCGUUUCUAUGGAAGCUUGCUUCCACUGAGAAGAUAGUGGCGAACGGGUGAGUAACACGUGGGUAACCUGCCCAUAAGAGGGGGAUAACAUCCGGAAACGGGUGCUAAUACCGCAUAGUUUUCUUGAUCGCAUGAUUGAGAAAGGAAAGACGGCCUUUGUGCUGUCGCUUAUGGAUGGACCCGCGGCGUAUUAGUUAGUUGGUGAGGUAACGGCUCACCAAGACGAUGAUACGUAGCCGACCUGAGAGGGUGAUCGGCCACAUUGGGACUGAGACACGGCCCAAACUCCUACGGGAGGCAGCAGUAGGGAAUCUUCCGCAAUGGACGAAAGUCUGACGGAGCAACGCCGCGUGAGUGAAAGAAGGUUUUCGGAUCGUAAAACUCUGUUGUCAGAGAAGAACAAGUUGGAGAGUAACUGCUCCAGCCUUGACGGUAUCUGACCAGAAAGCCACGGCUAACUACGUGCCAGCCGCGGC
rnacentral:rRNA from 1 species